GGGGCAGCACGAUGUAGCAAUACAUUGGUGGCGACCGGCGCACGGGUGAGUAACGCGUAUGCAACCUACCUAUCAGAGGGGAAUAACCCGGCGAAAGUCGGACUAAUACCGCAUAAAACAGGGGUUCCACAUGGAAAUAUUUGUUAAAGAAUUAUCGCUGAUAGAUGGGCAUGCGUUCCAUUAGAUAGUUGGUGAGGUAACGGCUCACCAAGUCCACGAUGGAUAGGGGUUCUGAGAGGAAGGUCCCCCACACUGGUACUGAGACACGGACCAGACUCCUACGGGAGGCAGCAGUGAGGAAUAUUGGUCAAUGGGCGAGAGCCUGAACCAGCCAAGUCGCGUGAAGGAUGAAGGAUCUAUGGUUUGUAAACUUCUUUUAUAUGGGAAUAAAGUGAGGAACGUGUUCCUUUUUGUAUGUACCAUAUGAAUAAGCAUCGGCUAACUCCGUGCCAGCAGCCGCGGUAAUACGGAGGAUGCGAGCGUUAUCCGGAUUUAUUGGGUUUAAAGGGUGCGUAGGUGGUUAAUUAAGUCAGCGGUGAAAGUUUGUGGCUCAACCAUAAAAUUGCCGUUGAAACUGGUUGACUUGAGUAUAUUUGAGGUAGGCGGAAUGCGUGGUGUGGCGGUGAAAUGCAUAGAUAUCACGCAGAACUCCGAUUGCGAAGGCAGCUUACUAAACUAUAACUGACACUGAAGCACGAAAGCGUGGGGAUCAAACAGGAUUAGAUACCCUGGUAGUCCACGCAGUAAACGAUGAUUACUAGCUGUUUGCGAUACACAGUAAGCGGCACAGCGAAAGCGUUAAGUAAUCCACCUGGGGAGUA
rnacentral:rRNA from 1 species